AGAGUUUGAUCCUGGCUCAGGAUGAACGCUGGCGACGUGCUUAACACAUGCAAGUCGAACGGGAACCUCUGGAUUCGUCUGGAGGGGAGAGUGGCGAACGGGUGAGUAACACGUAAGUGACCUGCCUCGAAGAUGGGGACAACUGCUGGAAACGGCAGCUAAUACCCAAUGGUCUCGGCGAUUCGGUUCGCUGAGUAAAUGCUACGGCGCUUCGGGAGGGGCUUGCGGCCCAUCAGCUUGUUGGUAGGGUAAUGGCCUACCAAGGCGAAGACGGGUAGGGGACGUGAGAGCGUGACCCCCCACACUGGCACUGAGACACGGGCCAGACUCCUACGGGAGGCAGCAGUGAGGAAUAUUGCGCAAUGAGCGAAAGCUAGACGCAGCAACGCCGCGUGGGUGAUGAAGGCCCUCGGGUCGUAAAACCCUUUUCUGGGGGACGAGAAAGGACGGUACCCCAGGAAUAAGCCUCGGCUAACUAUGUGCCAGCAGCCGCGGUAACACAUAGGAGGCAAGCGUUACCCGGAUUUAUUGGGCGUAAGGUGCGUUGAGGCGGUCCCGUAAGUUGGACGUGAAAGCUCCCGGCUCAACUGGGAGAGGCCGUUCAAUACUGUGGGGCUUGAGGGCAGCAGAGGGGGGUGGAAUUCCCGGUGCAGUGGUGAAAUGCGUAGAUACCGGGAGGAACACCAGUGGCGAAGGCGGCCCCCUGGGCUGCUCCUGACGCUGAAGGCGAAAGCUAGGGGAGCGAACGGGAUUAGAAACCCCGGUAGUCCUAGCCGUAAACGAUGGAUACUAGGUGUAGGGGGUGAAUACUCCCUCUGUGCCGAAGCUAACGCGUUAAGUAUCCCGCCUGGGGAGUACGAUCGCAAGAUUAAAACUCAAAGGAAUUGACGGGGACCCGCACAAGCAGCGGAGCGUGUGGUUUAAUUCGAUCAACGCGAAGAACCUUACCAGGGUUUGACAUGUAGGUAGUAGUGAAGCGAAAGCGGAACGAUCCUUCGGGAAGCCUGCACAGGUGCUGCAUGGCUGUCGUCAGCUCGUGCCGUGAGGUGUUAGGUUAAGUCCUGUAACGAGCGCAACCCCCGCCGUUAGUUACAAGUGUCUAACGGGACUGCCCGGCAAAACUGGGAGGAAGGUGGGGAUGACGUCAAGUCAGCAUGGCCUUUAUAUCCUGGGCUACACACACGCUACAAUGGCCGAUACAAUGGGUAGCCAAGCCGUGAGGCGGAGCCAAUCCUGCAAAGUCGGUCUCAGUUCGGAUUGUAGGCUGCAACUCGCCUGCAUGAAGUUGAAGUUGCUAGUAACCGCAGGUCAGCCACACUGCGGUGAAUACGUUCCCGGGUCUUGUACACACCGCCCGUCACGUCAUGGGAGCUGGUAACACCUGAAGCCGGUGGGCUAACCUAACGGAGGCAGCCGUCGAAGGUGGGACUGGUGACUGGGACGAAGUCGUAACAAGGUA
rnacentral:rRNA from 1 species